CAGUCGCCGCGGUAAGACAGAGGAUGCAAGCGUUAUCCGGAAUGAUUGGGCGUAAAGCGUCUGUAGGUGGCUUUUCAAGUCCGCCGUCAAAUCCCAGGGCUCAACCCUGGACAGGCGGUGGAAACUACCAAGCUGGAGUACGGUAGGGGCAGAGGGAAUUUCCGGUGGAGCGGUGAAAUGCGUAGAGAUGUGGAGGAACACCAGUGGCGAAGGCGACUCUCUGGUCUGUAACCGACGCUGAGGAGCGAAAGCGUGGGGAGCGAACAGGAUUAGAUACCCCAGUAGUCCCUGUCUCUUAUAC
rnacentral:rRNA from 1 species